UAGAAAUGAAAUAUCUAAAAUCUUACCUCAAUGUUUGAAACAUAGGUAAAAUAGCCACCUUUUUAUGCUUACCAUGUGCUAAAUGCUAAGCAUGUAUGUACAUGAUCACAUUUAUUCCCUACAUCCAACCUAGAAAGUAAGCAUUGUCAUGGCUUUUUACAGAAGAAAAACCUAAGACUCCGUGCCAGAAUUUCAAAGCCCUGCCCAAGAUUUCAAUUCUCGAUUUCUGUGCAUGCUCAG
rnacentral:lncRNA from 10 species